ACAUCCACUGCUGUUGCCGGCGGCAUCUUCCCGAGGCAGUUAGCAGCCAGCUGGCCGUGCGGCAGGAGUAGUGCUACCAAGCAAGCCUGCUGGUGUAUCUCCGUUGAACUCAGUGCUGUGAGUGUGUGCACAAGCUCUGAACAAACUAUAUAAACUAAGUGAAAUAAUGUCACAGUUUCACUGAUACAAAACACAGUGACGUACUGUUGGUUUCUCAUUAAUCAGAGACCUAAUACCACCACGUUACUACAGUACCCCGUAACGAGUGAACUCUUGUUGGUGUAAAUAAAUUGUAUAUAUUGACUUGAUUCAAAUUUUCUUUCAAGUCUACUCAUAUCACACCACUUUAAAUCAAAUGUUCUUGCCACUGGCGUGACAAACAGUGACAAAUAGUGACAAAAUGUGCCUAAGAACUAGAAAAAAACUACGUGAAAAACGUAGGUGAGUGAAAAACACUAAACAAUGUGGAACAGAGUGAACGAAGGAUUAGAGAAGUGAGGAAUGAACUGGUAGUGGAGAACCACGAGCAGCACGGUUUCGCUGUGGUUAGCACAACGUGUUCAAAACAGUGACCUUGUUUACCGCUCGAGGGUUCCACUCACACCACUCUUGCCUGACGAGAUGAACCCUUAUAAACUCUCUACAUAAAUGCUUCUUUUCCUCCGGCCUACCGCCUACGGCACUCCACAACCGCACUGAAAAAAAAAAAAAAAAAAAAUCGUCAUUAUGCCACACCCUUUUUCAACCUACAAACUCAGUUUUGCAUGGAGUAAUCUACUGCAAGAGGGUUGCGGUCCCUGCCUAAAAGAGAAACUGCUGAUUCUUCCUGCGGCCCACUGCUAGAUCUGUGACAGCAUUUCCCUAGGCGAUUAAGCUGUCCAAGAGAUGUUUGUCCUACUCCUUUUCUUCGUCUUCCCCUCUCUUCGAGCCGGAGACCAGGCCACUUCUGACCAGGGGCUCUUACGGCCUUUAUUGGCCAAGUGUCCUUGGUGGAAGACUACUUAUGGGUCAGAUAUCCAUACACCGACUUGAUUGAAGUACUAAAAAAAAAAAAAAAAAAAAAAAAGAGUUGGAAUUAGCACAUUAACUGGGAGUUUCCAUAAAUAACGAACACUCAUAGCCAAUACUCUAACAGUCUCAAAACUUUUACCUGGUGACAGACUUAAGAUUGUAAAAGAUACGGUUUUGGUUGCUCUGAAUAAUUAUGAGACCCUUACGUCUGCUCAACGCUCCAAAAGAGGGCUGGUAUAUGGAAUGGACAUUGCAUGCUUUUCGGAACUGCCUUAGAUAGCGAUGUAACUAACUUACAGAAUCGUUAUACCAAAUUGGUUGCAGAAGCUGUCAACAAAUAAAAUGGUUCAAUUAAACUGCAAGAAUAUUGAGCGCUUGAACCAUAACGUACAUACCUUGUUUAAUUACACUAACAAGUUUUGGACAUUCCUUACUGAAGCUUUUGAUAGGUUGCAUGAGCAGUAUGCUUUUCACAAAGUUUUCUUAUUACGUUCUGCUUUGGAAACCUCCGUUACCUCUAUCAUGCAUAGUAAUGAAUUAAUUCUCAGGAAUGUAGUAGAUGCUUUUGCCUGUUAAGGAUUUAUUGCAUACCCUAACCUUGGCAGAGGGUAAUUUCUCCCUUCUACCUAUAUUUACCGGAACAAAUGUACCUUCAUUACUACCUGUUCCUUAGUUCCAUGCUCGUUUCAGAUGUCAUUGUGGUCCAUGUUCCUUUUCGAUCACAUAGGGUCUACAGUGCUUGUCACAUUGAACUGUUCCCUUUCAAGGUAAAUACUACCAUCCAAACUUUAAACCUCCCACGGUCACAUGGUCUUGAAGACGCUGAUGGUCUUCAGUAUUCUGUCAGGGAUCCUCGAGAUCUUUUUGUUUUCACUUUUUGCCUUUGUACCAUUAACGAAAAUCGACGUGUGCGAGCUAUCCCUGGUACAUAAGCUCGCUUCGAGGAGUUUGUCUCUGCCCUUAUUCCCAUUUAGCUCCAACAUCUUACUUUCAUAAAAGCUUCAUGGGUCGUCAUUACUUCUUCUUUCCUGAAUCCAUGCCUGUCUCUGAAAUGUGCGAAGGGUCGUUACUCUUCCACAGCAUCAGGACACUUCUCCAUUUUCUACACUGAACAUCCUCGGUCUGUCCUUUACUUAUAAUCUGAGCUGGAAACUUCAUAUCUCAUCUCUAGCUAAAACAGCUUCUAUGAAAUUAGGUGUUCUGAGACGUCUCCGCCAGUUUUUCUCACCCCCCCCCCUAGCUGCUAACUCUGUACAAGGGCCUUAUUCGUCCAUGUAUGGAGUAUGCUUCUCAUAUCUGGGGGGGGGGGGUUCCACUCAUACCGUUCUUCUAGACAGGGUGGAAUCAAAAGGUUUUCAUCUCAUCAACACCUCUCCUCUAACUGACUGUCCCCAGCCCCUCUCUCAUCGCCGCAAUGUUGCAUAUCUAGCUGUAUUCUACCGCUAUUUUCAUGCUAACUGCUCUUCUGAUCUUGCUAACUGCAUGCCUCCCCUCCUCCCGCGGCCUCGCAGCACUAGACUUUCCUCUUUCUCUCACCCCUAUUCUGUCCACCUCUCUAAUGCAAGAGUUAACCAGUAUUCUCAAUCAUUCAUUUCCUUUCUCUGGUAAACUCUGAAACUCCCUGGCUGCUUCUGUUUUUCCACCUACCUAUGACUUGAAUUCCUUCAAAAGGGAGGUUUCAAGACACUUAUCCUUCAAUCUUUGAGAACCGCUUUGAACCCUUUUAUAGGACUGGCAUUUCAGUGGGCAUUUUUUUUUUUUUUUUUGCCCUUGGCCAGUGUCCCUCCUACAUAAAAAAAAAAAAAAAAAACUGUGUUCCUUAACUUCUUCUUCUUCCAACUUCCUACUCAUUCUGAAACACUACACCAGGGUUUUAUGCCAAAGAUUUUCAAAAGAUUCUAUACCUGGAAAAUGAAUAUUUCCAUUGUAAAAUAUGUCUCCAACUCAAUUUCUCAACUAUCUUUUGCAAAUUUAUCUGAAUUAGAAUCAGCUGUCCAUGGUUCUUUACCUUCCUACUUACAGCCUCAUACUCAUUAUCCUUCUUCAUCAUACCACUUGUCAUGACGUUGGUUUUAAUGAUUCCCCUGUACUGUCUCCUUAGACGGAUUUCGGUUUUGUAUAAAUUCCUUAAGGCCAGAGUCUCUCUACAAGAGACAGGCCACGACACCAGUCUCUGGUAAACUCUGGAAGUCCCUGCCUGUUUCUGUAUUUCCACCUUUCUAUGACUUGAAUUCCUUCAAGAGGGAGGUUUCAAGACACUUAUCCAUCAAUUUUUGACUACUGCCUUGACCCUCUUAUGGGACUGGCGUUUAAGUGGGCAUUUUUUUUUUAUUGGAUUUUUGUUGCCCUUGGCCAGUGUCCCUCCUUCAUAAAAAAAAAAAAAAAAUAAAUAAAUAAAUAAAAAAUGACGUGGAUAGGUACAUGUCUCUAGACUUAUUCCUCGUGAGAACGCUCAAGACUGGUGACCGAGCGGUGUACCCAUAGGUAGGUAAGGCUAGGUAAGAUAGGAAUAGGUAGGAUUUUUAUUCAUGUAGUGUGGGAAACUUCUAUGUUGGAAAUUUCCAUUGUUUUGCAUCUAUUGAGAUGUCUCCACCUAGCACCGACUAAUCACGAGGUGCUGACGAUAUGUCUGACGAUAUGCCCUGUCAAAUCCCUAACAACAACUUGCACUUUCGAAAACAUUACGGAUUCAUCUUCUGUUGAAAAGCAGUGUCUACAUCUAAUUUUUAUCCCAACCUAUGAGACAAGAGGGUUGUGGGGAUGUUAUCUUUUGGCCGGACACCGCCACUGUUCUUUCCUCAUGAUCAGCUUCACUCUCACUGGGCUGCACCUCCUCAACAAGAUUUGGGUAACUCUGCAUUUUUCACCAUUUCUACCAACUGAGGAUUAUUAUAUUCAGAAUAGGGUAUUAUCUUAGACUUGAGGAAACCCUGAAGGGAAAGAACCAUCCCCUAUAUAGCACGAGCACAUACUGCAUGAUGUACCUGGAGCCGUAUUAACAAAGAUUCUCAGAGUUCGUCUCGGCCUUCUACUUAGACUUGUGCUUAUCUCAUGACCGUGCUUAAAGUUGUGCUGAGCCUUGGUUGAGACGAAUUCUUAAGUCCCAGUAUGAAAUGGUGAAAGAGGAAAACAGUAAAAUCUUACAUUUCUGAAUUUCGAGUUAAUAGUGUAAUUUUUUUUCUUCGAUUGAAUACAAAAAAAACAAGAUAAAUAAAAAUUUAUCUUAAAUUUUGUAAGCAUAUGAGCGCAUCAAUUUGUGCUUUUCAUUAAACAAAUUAGAUCUGUCAACACGCCAACAGCACGACACAGGGACCAAAGGUCAUCAUUACUGCACAUCUGCAUUGGCUAAAUAUUAAUGUAAUUGUUAUUUUAAAUACUAGCGUUAGCGCAUCACUCUUUCCUUUGGGGCUUUCCAAGGAAUCUCUCGUCAAAUCUGUCACAAAUAACACUCCUGCAGGUCUAGUCUAUAUAUGUCUAGCAGUUCAGUGUCAUUCAGGUCAUCAAGUGCAUCCUUACGAGGCUGAUAAUUCUUGAGGUGGCGAGCAUGGGCUUGGCGGUCGGCCAUCUUUGUUUGGUUAACUUAGUCUUAAUGUAACUCGUAAAAUUAAGCUACAUACAGACAUGUCUUAAAUAUUCAGCAGCUUAGGACCUAGACUCAGUGUGACUUGAAAAGUUAAGCACAACUCUUAGCUUGGGAGUUGGUCUGGGUCAAAUCUUUACAGUUAAGAAUCUUUGUUAAUAAGGCUUAGAGCUGUGCUUAACUUCCCAAGCUGUGCUGAGUCUAGAUCUUAAGGCUCCUAAAAUUUAAGAUAUGUCCGGAUGUAGCUUAACUUUAAGAUUUACGCUAAGACCAGGUUAACCAAAUAAAGAUGGCCGACCGUCGUGCCCGAGCUCACCACCUCAAUAAUUAUCAACCCCUCAUGGAUGUUCUCAAUGACCUGAAUGACUUGGUGCUAAAGAAAGGAUGACCAUUCAGAUUGCUCUUUGUUGUGUGAACUUAGUGUUAUUCUUUAUGUACUCGUACUAAUGUACUUUGCUUUGAUUAAAUUUAAAGGUUCCAAA